rnacentral:rRNA from 1 species
AUGGCGAAGAAGGCGGCGGUGAUCGCCACGCUGCUGGCCCUGAACCUGCUCUUCUUCACCUUCGCCGACGCCUGCGGCUGCCACUGCGGAUCCUGCCCUAGUCCGGGCGGCGGCGGCGGCGGUGGGGGUGGCGGUGGAGGUGGGAGCGGUGGCGGGGGUGGUGGAGGGAGCGGUGGAGGCGGAUCUGGAGGAGGCGGCAGCGGCGGAGGUGGGUCAGGAGGAGGUGGCAGCGGCGGCGGCGGGUCCGGCGGUGGCGGAUCGGGAGGAGGCGGAUCAGGCGGGCGCGCGCGGUGCCCCAUCGACACGCUGAAGCUGGGGGUGUGCGCCAACGUGCUCAACGGGCUGAUCAACCUGCAGCUGGGGACGCCGCCGAAGCAGCCGUGCUGCUCGCUAAUCCAGGGGCUCGCCGACCUGGAGGCGGCGGUGUGCCUCUGCACGGCGCUCAAGGCCAACAUCCUGGGCAUCAACCUCAACGUGCCCAUCGACCUCAGCCUCCUCGUCAACUACUGCGGCAAGAACGUCCCCUCCGGCUUCCAGUGCCCCCGCUAG